rnacentral:rRNA from 1 species
UACGUAGGGUGCAAGCGUUAAUCGGAAUUAUUGGGCGUAAAGCGUGCGCAGGCGGUUCUGUAAGACAGUUGUGAAAUCCCCGGGCUUAACCUGGGAAUUGCAUCUGUGACUGCAGAGCUAGAGUACGGCAGAGGGGGAUGGAAUUCCGCGUGUAGCAGUGAAAUGCGUAGAUAUGCGGAGGAACACCGAUGGCGAAGGCAGUCCCCUGGGCCUGUACUGACGCUCAUGCACGAAAGCGUGGGGAGCAAACAGG